rnacentral:rRNA from 1 species
CGGCAACAGCUCAAAUUUGAAAUCUGGUGCCUCCGGCGCCCGAGUUGUAAUUUGCAGAGGGUGCUUUGGCGCUGGCGCCAGCCUAAGUUCCUUGGAACAGGACGUCACAGAGGGUGAGAAUCCCGUACGUGGCCGGCUGCCUCCGCCUUGUAAAGCCCCUUCGAC